rnacentral:rRNA from 1 species
AGGGUUUGAUUAUGGCUCAGGAUGAACGCUAGCGGCAGGCCUAAUACAUGCAAGUCGAACGGUAACAUUGGUGCUUGCACCAGAUGACGAGUGGCGCACGGGUGCGUAACGCGUAUGCAACCUACCUUUUACUAGAGUAUAGCCCAGAGAAAUUUGGAUUAAUCCUCUAUAACAUCUUUUAAUUUCAUGAUUUUAAGAUUAAAGUUUUAACGGUAAAAGAUGGGCAUGCGUCCUAUUAGUUUGUAGGUGAGGUAACGGCUCACCUAGACUACGAUAGGUAGGGGCCCUGAGAGGGGGAUCCCCCACACUGGUACUGAGACACGGACCAGACUCCUACGGGAGGCAGCAGUAAGGAAUAUUGGACAAUGGACGAAAGUCUGAUCCAGCCAUGCCGCGUGCAGGAUGACAGCCCUACGGGUUGUAAACUGCUUUUAUACAGGAAGAAACACUCCGACGUGUCGGAGCUUGACGGUACUGUAAGAAUAAGGAUCGGCUAACUCCGUGCCAGCAGCCGCGGUAAUACGGAGGAUCCAAGCGUUAUCCGGAAUCAUUGGGUUUAAAGGG